CUUAUGCCGGCGACCGGCGGACGGGUGCGUAACGCGUAUGUAACCUACCUUUGACAGGGGGAUAACAUCGAGAAAUUGGUACUAAUACCCCAUAACAUCACCGGAGGCAUCUUCGGUGGUUGAAAACUCAGGUGGUCAGAGAUGGACAUGCGUUGAAUUAGCUAGUUGGUGAGGUAACGGCUCACCAAGGCGACGAUACAUAGGGGGACUGAGAGGUCAACCCCCCACAUUGGUACUGAGACACGGACCAAACUCCUACGGGAGGCAGCAG
rnacentral:rRNA from 1 species